GAAAUGCGAUAAGUAAUGUGAAUUGCAGAAUUCAGUGAAUCAUCGAAUCUUUGAACGCACCUUGCGCUCCUUGGUAUUCCGAGGAGCAUGCCUGUUUGAGUGUCAUUAAAUUCUCAAUCUUUACAACUUUGUGUUGUCCAGAUUGGAUUUGGGGGUUUCAUUGUGCGGAAUUCAAUUCCUCACUCCCCUUAAAUGCAUUAGCUGGAAUGCCUCCGCAUAUCUGACUAUCAGUGUGAUAAUUAUCUAUACUGUAGUUGUUGCAUGAGGGUAUCUGCUUCAUCAAUCGUCGCAAGACAAAUGACCAUCUUGACCUCAAAUCAGGUAGGACUACCCGCUGAACUUAA
rnacentral:misc_RNA from 1 species